GAUGAACGCUAGCGGGAGGCUUAACACAUGCAAGUCGAGGGGCAGCAUAAGGUAGCAAUACUUUGAUGGCGACCGGCGCACGGGUGAGUAACGCGUAUGUAACCUGUCCUUAACAGGAGGAUAACCCGGAGAAAUUCGGACUAAUACUGCAUAAAAUUAUAAAUAGGCAUCUAUUAAUAAUUAAAGCUACGGCGGUUAGGGAGGGGCAUGCGUAACAUUAGCUGGUUGGUAGGGUAACGGCCUACCAAGGCAAUGAUGUUUAGGGGUCCUGAGAGGGUGGUCCCCCACACUGGUACUGAGACACGGACCAGACUCCUACGGGAGGCAGCAGUGAGGAAUAUUGGUCAAUGGGCGCAAGCCUGAACCAGCCAUCCCGCGUGAAGGAAGAAUGCGCUACGCGUUAGUAAACUUUCUUUUCCAGGGGGAGAAUAAUCCUGUCGUGACAGGACUUGACGGUACUCUGGGAAUAAGCAUCGGCUAACUCCGUG
rnacentral:rRNA from 1 species